UAAACUCUGAGACGAACUUCCACAUAUCAAUUGAUUGUGCCUCAUUUAUAAAAGGAAGAGUAACACAGAAGUAAUUCUGUAACAGGUAGACUCCACAACGCUGACUCUAUAACGCAGCUCCAUAAAGCAGAGUCCAUAAUACACCAAAAACAAGGACAAAAAAGUACAGAGUAUUAGUGGGGACACGAUACAAAAAAUGGUCUCUAAUAUACUGACGAUUUGUAUAACAUUUGAUGUGGGACACAAGCUCUCUUGGACAGGUGCAAAAAAUUCGACCGCAAUAGCAAAUUCUACCUUUGCAAACAUUAUAGUUAGGACUAUGAAUAAAACUAAAGGAAGAGGCCCUGAUUGCACUAUCGAUUUGAUUGUGAAGUACAUAAAGAACUGGUUGCAACACGCAGGUGACAAAAUGCGAUAUCGUAUGAAGAAGGCUCAACAAUAGAAAGCACGAAAGACGAAGUUAACACACUACGUAAGGAAAUUAGUUUAUAAAUAAGUUUAGUAAGUAGCAGUAUUCUCUCCUUUUUUUAUGUUUUGUGGUUUCGGUUUAUAUAUAGAAUACCGUCAAUUCACAAUUCCGAAACGUUGUUUUUUUUAAUUUGGGUUCAGCGUUUGAUAUACGCAAUCUAUACUUCUUACAUCUAAAUUUAUAAAUGAGUUUGGUAGAUCAAUAUUC